UACAGAGGGUGCAAGCGUUGCUCGGAAUCAUUGGGCGUAAAGGGCAGGUAGGUGGUCUCAUUUGUCUGGGGUGAAAGCCUUCGGCUUAACCGAAGAAGUGCCUCAGAAACGGUGAGACUAGAGUCUUGGAGAGGUAAGCGGAAUUCCCGGUGUAGCGGUGAAAUGCGUAGAGAUCGGGAGGAACACCAGCGGCGAAGGCGGCUUACUGGACAAGUUACUGACACUCAACUGCGAAAGCGUGGGGAGCAAACAGG
rnacentral:rRNA from 1 species